GAUGAACGUUGGCGGCGUGCCUAAUACAUGCAAGUCGAGCGAACAGACGAGGAGCUUGCUCCUCUGACGUUAGCGGCGGACGGGUGAGUAACACGUGGAUAACCUACCUAUAAGACUGGGAUAACUUCGGGAAACCGGAGCUAAUACCGGAUAAUAUAUUGAACCGCAUGGUUCAAUAGUGAAAGACGGUUUUGCUGUCACUUAUAGAUGGAUCCGCGCCGCAUUAGCUAGUUGGUAAGGUAACGGCUUACCAAGGCAACGAUGCGUAGCCAACCUGAGAGGGGGGUCGGCAAAACAGGAAGGGAGAGACGGACCAGAAGCCAAGGGGAGGAAGGAGAAGGGAAUCUGCGGGAAAGGGAGAAAGCCGGACGGAGCAAGGCCGGGGGAGGGAUGAAGGUAUGCGGAUGAGAAAACGUUGUUAAGAGGAAAAAAAAAAGUUGAAAGAAAACAAGCAGGCUUGGGAGGGACCAAAAGAAAAAGCAGGGGAGAAAGGAAA
rnacentral:rRNA from 1 species